rnacentral:rRNA from 1 species
CGCCCUUAGAGUUUGAUCAUGGCUCAGAUUGAACGCUGGCGGCAGGCCUAACACAUGCAAGUCGGACGGUAAGAGAGCUUGCUCUCGACGAGUGGCGGACGGGUGAGUAAUGUCUGGGAAACUGCCCGAUGGAGGGGGAUAACUACUGGAAACGGUAGCUAAUACCGCAUAACGUCGCAAGACCAAAGUGGUUCGUCACACCAUCGGAUGUGCCCAGAUGGGAUUAGCUAGUAGGUGGGGUAACGGCUCACCUAGGCGACGAUCCCUAGCUGGUCUGAGAGGAUGACCAGCCACACUGGAACUGAGACACGGUCCAGACUCCUACGGGAGGCAGCAGUGGGGAAUAUUGCACAAUGGGCGCAAGCCUGAUGCAGCCAUGCCGCGUGUAUGAAGAAGGCCUUCGGGUUGUAAAGUACUUUCAGCGGGGAGGAAGGGGGCGAAGUAAUCUUCGUUCUUGACGUUACCCGCAGAAGAAGCACCGGCUAACUCCGUGCCAGCAGCCGCGGUAAUACGGAGGGUGCAAGCG